rnacentral:rRNA from 1 species
CCUACGGGGGGCAGCAGUAGGGAAUCUUCCGCAAUGGACGAAAGCCUGAUGGAGCGACGCCGCGUGAGGGAUGAAGGUCUUCGGAUCGUAAACCUCUGUCAGCAGGGAAGAACGGUCACUGUGCUAAUCAGCAGUGAAUUGACGGUACCUGCUUAGAAAGUACCGGCUAACUCCGUGCCAGCAGCCGCGGUAAUACGUAGGUGGCAAGCGUUAUCCGGAUUUAUUGGGUGUAAAGGGCGUGCAGGCGGGGACACAAGUCAGAUGUGAAAACCAUGGGCUCAACCUGUGACCUGCAUUUGAAACUGUGUAUCUUGAGUACUGGAGAGGCGGACGGAACUCCAAGUGUAGCGGUGGAAUGCGUAGAUAUUAGGAGGAACACCAGUGGCGAAGGCGGUCUGCUGGACAGCAACUGACGCUGAGGCGCGAAAGCGUGGGGAGCAAACAGGAUUAGAUACCCCUGUAGUC